rnacentral:rRNA from 1 species
UGGGGAAUAUUGCACAAUGGGCGAAAGCCUGAUGCAGCAACGCCGCGUGAGUGAUGAAGGUCUUCGGAUUGUAAAGCUCUGUCUUUUGGGACGAUAAUGACGGUACCAAAGGAGGAAGCCACGGCUAACUACGUGCCAGCAGCCGCGGUAAUACGUAGGUGGCGAGCGUUGUCCGGAUUUACUGGGCGUAAAGGGUGCGUAGGCGGAUGUUUAAGUGAGAUGUGAAAUACCCGGGCUUAACUUGGGUGCUGCAUUUCAAAGCUGGAUAUCUAGAGUGCAGGAGAGGAGAAUGGAAUUCCUAGUGUAGCGGUGAAAUGCGUAGAGAUUAGGAAGAACACCAGUGGCGAAGGCGAU